rnacentral:rRNA from 1 species
UCGGGAAUUUUGGGCAAUGGGCGAAAGCCUGACCCAGCAACGCCGCGUGAAGGAUGAAGUAUUUCGGUAUGUAAACUUCGUAAGAAUAGGAAGAAUAAAUGACGGUACUAUUUGUAAGGUCCGGCUAACUACGUGCCAGCAGCCGCGGUAAUACGUAGGGACCAAGCGUUGUUCGGAUUUACUGGGCGUAAAGGGCGCGUAGGCGGUGUGUCAAGUCAGUUGUGAAAUCUCCGAGCUUAACUCGGAACGGUCAACUGAUACUGUCACACUAGAGUACAGAAGGGGCAAUCGGAAUUCUUGGUGUAGCGGUGAAAUGCGUAGAUAUCAAGAGGAACACCUGAGGCGAAGACGGGUUGCUGGGCUGACACUGACGCUGAGGCGCGAAAGCAAGGGGAGCGAAACAGGAUUAGAUACCCCAGUAGUCCCUGAGCGGGCUGGCAAGGCGCAU